rnacentral:rRNA from 1 species
UGGUGAUCUGCCCUGCACUUCGGGAUAAGCCUGGGAAACUGGGUCUAAUACCGGAUAGGAGCCAUUUUUAGUGUGAUGGUUGGAAAGUUUUUUCGGUGUAGGAUGAGCUCGCGGCCUAUCAGCUUGUUGGUGGGGUAAUGGCCUACCAAGGCGGCGACGGGUAGCCGGCCUGAGAGGGUGGACGGCCACAUUGGGACUGAGAUACGGCCCAG